rnacentral:rRNA from 1 species
AUUGAACGCUGGCGGCAGGCUUAACACAUGCAAGUCGAGCGGAGAUGAGGUGCUUGCGCCUUAUCUUAGCGGCGGACGGGUGAGUAAUGCUUAGGAAUCUGCCCAUUAGUGGGGGACAACAUUCCGAAAGGAAUGCUAAUACCGCAUACGCUCUGUGGGGGAAAGCAGGGGAUCUUCGGACCUUGCGCUGAUAGAUGAGCCUAAGUCGGGUUAGCUAGUUGGUGGGGUAAAGGCCUACCAAGGCGACGAUCUGUAGCGGGUCUGAGAGGAUGACCCGCCACACUGGGACUGAGACACGGCCCAGACUCCUACGGGAGGCAGCAGUGGGGAAUAUUGGACAAUGGGCGGAAGCCUGAUCCAGCCAUGCCGCGUGUGUGAAGAAGGCCUUUUGGUUGUAAAGCACUUUAAGCGAGGAGGAGGCUACCUGGAUUAACACUCUAGGAUAGUGGACGUUACUCGCAGAAUAAGCACCGGCUAACUCUGUGCCAGCCGCCGCCGUAAAAC